AGACGGAGGGAGCAAGCGUUGUUCGGAUUUACUGGGCGUAAAGGGCGUCUAGGCGGGCUGGAAAGUCAGGUGUGAAAUCCAACGGCUUAACCGUUGAACUGCACUUGAUACUACUGGUCUUGAGUACGGAAGAGGGAUGCGGAAUUCCUGGUGUAGCGGUGAAAUGCGUAGAUAUCAGGAGGAACACCGGUGGCGAAGGCGGGAUCCUGGUCCGAUACUGACGCUAAAGCGCGAAAGUGUGGGGAGCAAACAGGAUUAGAUACCCUGGUAGUCCACACUGUAAACGAUGGAUACUAGGUGUCGGGGGUAUCGACCCCCCCGGUGCCGUAGCUAACGCAUUAAGUAUCCCGCCUGGGGAGUACGGUCGCAAGGUUGAA
rnacentral:rRNA from 1 species